rfam:Aedes aegypti strain Liverpool supercont1.112 genomic scaffold, whole genome shotgun sequence.
GGAUCGGUAGCUUUGUUGGUAAAGCACUCGUCUAGCAUACAAGAGUCGUGAACUCGAAUCCCACCUGAUCAC